rnacentral:rRNA from 1 species
GAUGAACGCUGGCGGUGUGCCUAAUACAUGCAAGUCGAACGAGUUCUUCGGAACUAGUGGCGGACGGGUGAGUAACACGUUGGUACCUGCCCUCAAGUGGGGAAUAACUGCCCGAAAGGGUGGCUAAUACCGCAUGUGAUCGUAAGAUCAAAGUCGCAAGACGCUUGAGGAGGGGCCUGCGUCCCAUUAGCUAGUUGGUAGGGUAAUGGCCUACCAAGGCGACGAUGGGUAGCUGGAUCGAGAGGUUGACCAGCCACACUGGGACUGAGAUACGGCCCAGACUCCUACGGGAGGCAGCAGUAAGGAAUCUUCCACAAUGGACGAAAGUCUGAUGGAGCAACACCGCGUGCAGGAUGACGGCCUUCGGGUUGUAAACUGCUUUUAUAUGGGAAGAUUAUGACGGUACCAUAUGAAUAAGCACCGGCUAACCACGUGCCAGCAGCCGCCGUAA